rnacentral:rRNA from 1 species
UACGAAGGGGGCUAGCGUUGCUCGGAAUCACUGGGCGUAAAGCGCACGUAGGCGGAUUGCUAAGUCAGGGGUGAAAUCCUGGAGCUCAACUCCAGAACUGCCCUUGAUACUGGCGGUCUCGAGUCCGGGAGAGGUGAGUGGAACUGCGAGUGUAGAGGUGAAAUUCGUAGAUAUUCGCAAGAACACCAGUGGCGAAGGCGACUUACUGGACGAUUGUUGACGCUGAGGUGCGAAAGCGUGGGGAGCAAACAGG